rfam:Picea glauca, whole genome shotgun sequence.
GCAAAAGCCUUAUUCAAGGCUACAAAAAAUUCUAUUGUCGAAUUCAU